rnacentral:piRNA from 1 species
UGGACCAGCUUAUACGUCUCAAAAAUUUCAG